AAAAUCUUCCUUUCCUUUAUUAUUGAAAUAAUUCUCUCCGCCCCCGCCGGCCCCACUCCCCGGGCAGGCUGCACAGAGCGCCAAGGAAAUCCGUCCUCCCAGCCAGACGCCAGCGGCCUUCUGCUGCGCUCCGUAACUAACUCCCCGGAAACCCUGCGUUUGUUCUGGCUGCCCCCUUUGACUGUGAUAAUAACUAGAACUUCAACCCUCUCACUUUCUUACGCCUCCUUUUGUGACAGUGAAAGCACCAAAAUUUCCGCGUAGGAGGGACUCAGGGACAACGAUGCAAUUGGAAGGCUCUGGAAGAUGCCUACCGGGUGCCUGCCAGGAGGGCCGGGCCCUGUUCUCACCACUGCUCUGAAUGGUCGCCACAGAGAAUGGUCCCUGCUCUAAGGGAGCCCAUGUUCCGCUUGGGGAAGGCAACCAGCAAGAUCUAAAGCACAGUCACGCAUCACUGAGUGACAGGGACAUGUCCUGUGAAAUGCAUGGUGAGGUGAUGUUGUCAUUGUGUGGACGUCCCAGAGUGCACUACACAAACCUGGAUGGGGUCGCCUACUGCACAUCUAGGCUGCAUGUAGCCCGUGGCUCCUAGACUGCAGACCCAGACAGCAUGUUACUGCCCCGAAUGCCGCAGGCAGCUGGAACCCAGUGGUUAAGUAUCCGUGUACCUAAACACAUCUCAACUUAGAAAAGGUACAGUAAAAAUAUAGUAUUAUCAUUGAUGGGACCACUGUCACCACUGCACACUGCCUUGGACCGAAACAUUAUACAGUGCAUGGUUGUCGAUGAUGGAGAUUGAGAUUUGUGCACUGGAGAAAAUAAAGCAAGGUGGGCUGAGAGUGGGAGGCCCGCAGGGCAGGGCACUUUGGAGCAGGUUGUCAGGAAAUGCCUCCCUGAAGAGGGCGCAUUUGCACUGAAAGCCAAGUGACAAGAAGAAACUGCCAUGCACGGAUCUGGGGGCUAGAGGGUGGGACAGGAGGGACAGCAAGAGCAAAGGCACUGGGGACGGAGGGGCUUCAUGGGCAGCGGGGAGCUCCGCAGGAGCCCGCUGGGUCUGGCUUGCAAGCUCUCUGGCCCUUUGCUGGACACCCCAGAGCAAGCCAGCCCCUGCCUGGGACUCCCUGAACACACUGCCCCCAGAGAACCAGAGGCAGAGGGGCUGGCUCGCCUGAGUUCCACAGGAAAGACAGACUGUCCUGAGAACAGACAGUGGCUCAUUUUCAUCACUGUUCCUCAAACAAGUAGAUUUUGUUUUAAAGCAAACAAAUAAACAGAGUUGUCAAGUUGGU